AUGCUAUGUCCUGGGCAAGAAUGGACACUCCAAAUCAUGACACUGCCGGAAGAUGGGAUGGCACCCUGGGUGAGUUGGUCAACAGCCUUCCAGGUGAUGGGUGUUAAGUGCCAGCACUUUGUGGAAUGUGCAGCCGCAGCUUCCCCAGCUUCAAGUUUUGUGGGGAGUAAGUCUGCCCUGGAAGCCCUUAAGGCCACAGGGCCGGAUGUCCACAGAAGGCAUUCACGUAAGGUUCCCGCUCAGACCCACCCGGUUACAGGUCUGGCAGGGAGCAAGGGCAAGGGGUACAGGGCAGGAGGGGGCAGCCGUGGCAGUGAAGGAAUCAUGUCAAUUUUUGCGGUCUGACCAUUCCUGGGGAAGGCCUCCAUGGCCAGCAUGUAUUAUGACAUCACAAUGGCAGUUUUAUUAUGUCACAAUGGAAGCUAAUGGCAUCACAAUGAUGGUUUAUGUCAUCUCUAGUGAUUAUAACAACACAAUGGCUGGCUAAUCACAAUUGUUUUAUCACUUCAACAUUGAGUGUGAUAGUUCAAUAUGGAUUUAUGACAACAUGGUGGUAUAACACCACAUAUGAUUAUGACAUCACAUUCUUGUUCAUGAUAUCAAAACAUUUUAGGACUUCAAAAUCAAUUAUGGCAAUGUAAUGGUUGUUUAAUGACAAAAAUGGUGCAUUUAUAGCAUCAGGAUUUUGGUAUAUGACAAUUAUUUUCAUAACAUCACAAUUAUUACAACACUGUGAUGAUUUAUGAUAUCACAACGUUCACACAUCACAGUGUUCAUGAUAUCACAAUGGUUGUUUAUGAAAUUACAUUUGAUCAUGAUACUUCAUAAUUGAUUAUGACAUCAGAGCAGUUGGUUUAUAAGUUACACUGGCUUUGUAUGGAAUAUGAUAUCACAUAUAAUAGUCUAUGAAAUAACAAUAGUGGUUAUGACAUCACAAUUCAUUAGUAUUUCAAAAUGGUAGGUUUACCUCACAAUGGUUCGGAAUUGUUUAUGACUCACAGUUAUAGGUCUAUGAUAUAAUAAUGGUGGCUUAUAAUAUUUGAGUUGAUUAUGACAUGAUUUUUGUGACAUCACCAUUGAUUAUGACAAAAUAAUGGUAGCUUUGUAACAUGACCAUAGAUUUUUAUGUAAAAUACUGGUUUAUGACAUCACAAUAGAUUUUAUAUCACAAUUAAUUAUAAUGGUAUUUUAUGACAGUUCAAUUGAUUAUGAUGUCAUAAAAUUCAACUUCUGAUAUUACAAUUGUUUUAUAACUUCACAGUUGAUUGUGACAUUAAGUGGUAGGUUUAGCACAUCACAAUGGUGGAUUAUUAAUUAUAACAUUACAAGGUUUACAAAAUUACAAUUAAUUGUGACACAACAAUGGUAGCUUUAUAACAGCAUGAUGGUUUUUAUGGUUUCUGUGACAUCACAAUUUAUGAAAACAUCAUAAUGAUAUUCUAUGACAUAACAAUUGAUAAUGAAUUUGUCCCAGUUGAUUAAGAAAUCAUGAGGUUUUUUUCAACAAUCACAAUUGAUUAUAACAAUGGUAACUUUAUGACAUCACAAUAUAUUUUCACUUCAAAAUUCAUUUUAUGACAUCAGAAUUGAGUAUAAUAUUAAAAUAAUGUCUAUGCUAGUUUACAUAUGACAUCACAGUAGUUGGUUUAUGACAACAUAAUGAUGGUUCCGUGGUCGUUUUAUGACAUCACAAUUGAUUAUGGAAACUCAAUGGUUGGUUUUUGAUAUCACACUAGAAGGCUUAAAACAUCACAAUGGCUUUUUACAUCAAAAUGGUGGCUUAUGACAUUAUGAUUGUGACAUUACAAUGGUAGGUUUAUGAAAUCAGAGUGGAUUAUGGUUGGGUUAUGAUAUAACAUUGUUUGAUUACAGCAUCACAAUAUGGAUUUAUGACAUUACAAUGGUUUUUGCGAAUCACAAUAUUGAUAUUGACUUCAUAACACAAAAUUACAUUGACCUCACCUGGGUGUUUAAUACAUCACAAUUGAUUAUGACAUUACAGUAGAUUUAUGCUUUUAAUGCCUUCAAAAUAGCUACUCAUUUUAAAUUCAUUUUGUGAUGCUACAAUUAUGAUAUCAGAACAGUAUGUCUGAUGGCACAAUGAUAGGUAUGAUGUCACAAUAGAUUUAGGACUUUACAAUUAAUCAUAACAUCACAACAGUUGGAUUAUGACAUCACAAUUGUUUGUGUAUGGCAUCAAAUAUUGCUUUAUGAAAUCACAAUGGUUUUAUGAGAUCACAAUCUAAAUCAUAAUGGUGGUUUAUGACAUCACUAUCCAUUGGAACAUUGCCAUGAUGGUUUAUGAUAAGACAGUGGUAGCAUAUGGCAUUACAAUCGAUUAUGACAUCACAAUGUUACGUGUAUGAAGCCAGAAGUUUUGAUGGCUUCACAAUUUACUGUAACAUAAAUGGUAGGUUUCUGAUAGUACAGUGUUUUUGCACAUUAUUAAUGUGUCAUAAUGUACAAGAAUAAAAGAAGCAAAGAACAAAAUAAACA
ensembl:lncRNA